CAACGAGAGCAGCAGCAGCAGCGGUUAUUACAGCAGCAGAACACAGAGGAACUCGGCACACGUCGCGUGCGGCAUUUUUUCUUUGUGCGUCGGUGUUAGUAUUUCAGUUGGAGUGAGAUUUCGCGAGUGUCGUUCGGUUCGCCGGCCGACGUCGGCCGUCUGCGAUUACACCUCCCGCGAAAAAAUGUUCGCGUUAUUUGUGAUUAAUUAUCGUACGACGAUCGAAUUAAUAACCCUCGAAUCCACUUUUCCAUGAAUAAACAAUUCAAUUUAUACCCCGCGUACCGGCUACGUGCACAUUUCGAAAAAUCAAUUCCUAUACGGGCAAAAAAAAUCAUCUAUCUUCGCGAACUUGACGAGAUAAAAUUUUUCAUCCAAACGGAUUCUCGCCGAUCGUAGAAGGAGAGAAAAAUCAGAAAAAAAAGAGAAAAAGAGAGAGAGUGAGAGGGGAGGAGAAAAAGAGAGACGGUAAAAAAAAAAAAAAAAAUAGAAAGAGAGAGAGAUACCCGUUUCGUUGUGUGCCGUAUUUUUUGCCAGUUCGCGUGCUGCUGCUUGCUGCUGCUGCUCUUAUAAGCUCUGUUGCCGAGUGGUCCGUACGCCGGAAAUACAGAGUACUGUUUAAAGGGAGGAAUAUCGUACGUGUUGUUUGUUAAAUAAUUUUUUAAACACCGCUUGAAUACGGUAACUGAGCGGGGCAGGGUGAAAAAAAAAAGAAAAAAAAAAAAAAAAAAAAAAUUAAAUAAAUAACUGAAUAAAAUAAAUAUACCGCGGAAAGAGUAAGAAAAUGAAAUACUUAGGAGCGCAAAAAAUAAGAACGAAGAGAGGUCUGGGCUACCGACGACGAGGGCACUGAUCUCUCAGGGAGCGGCGACCUGCGAACCAACCAUAGAUAUAGGAUAUCCUCUCCUCGAUCGCUACGCAGACUGGCGAUUCCGCUGGCUCUCUGGCUCUCUGCAGGCUGGAGUCUGGGACAAGGAUUCUUCUCUUCUCUUCUCUUCUCUUCUCUACUCUACUCUUCACAAUCGCAAAUCGCAAUCAGAUAUACAUAUAUAUAUACAUAUAUAUACAUUUAUAUAUAUAUAUAUAUAUAGAGACACACGCAUGGUAUAUAAACGGCGUACAUACUGCAUCGUCAACUUACGCUGUCACCUCAACGGUCUUCGAACAGAGAUCAUCGGCGUUUUUCUAAAGAGGGUUCACCGCACGCCGAGCAGAUAUCUACUCUCAAUGGUGCACGCGUACGUGCCAUAUUAUGUAUAAGAAAUUACAUAGACCUGUGUGUACAUGUGAAUAUGGACGAUGUGGAAUUGGGGGACGAAAAAAAGCCCGCGACAGCGAGAAUAUUUUAUCUUCUUCUUCUUCUUCUUCUUAGAGAACUAUAAGUGAGAAGAGCUUAAAAAUUUUGACGAGUUACAUAGCUGCAGAAAAAUACUGCCAAUGUUCAACACGCACUAUCUCAGCUGCAGUUACUUGAUGACACUAACCCGUAGAUCCGAACUUGUGGGCUAUUUUAUUUGCACACCGCAAGCUCCUAUCUACCGGUACAUGUAGUCAGGCCGUCGAUUUGGUUGUUAUAUACGCAACUUGCAGUUAUGCGCCUGCAAAAUAUCGAACCGAGGACAACGAAAUUUUUGUGCGGACCGUCGACGACGACCUCGUGAAUUUCCACUCACCUCUAUCCUACGUUGGAUGCGCCCCAUAUUUAUGUCAACGAAUUUUUUAUGGUCUUUUUUUCGUUUGGUUUAAAAAUUUGUUAAUUCGUUUUUUUUUUUAUUCUUUUCGUUUUUCCAAAUUUGGCGUUGUACAUUCGCCGAUGCGACGCAGUUUCUUUUUGUGACAAAAAAAAAAAUAAAAAAAAAAAAAAAUUCAUUCCACUGAUAUUUGGAGAUUAAUUGAAACGGAACAAUAAGAAAGAGUAAGAAAACGAAAAAAUUUAAUUCAAAAUGUAGCGAUGGAAUGAAAUUUGAGUUUUCUUGCGGCGGCGCCUGGGUGAGGUAGUAGGUUGUAUAGUAGGGAAUGAAAAUUCGAGAAUACGAAGUCCACUGUACAGCUUGCUAACUUUCCCGGUCGCCGGCGCCCCGACGCUGGACCAUGGCUGAACCCAUCGUUAAAUUCGUGCUCCGGAGAUCAGCGGCAACGCGCGGGAAACGGCGAGGAAAGGGAGAGAAAGGAGGUGCGGUCAACUAGGAACGGAAGAAGGCGGAUUGAACACGAAGAGAGAAGGGAAAAUUAUGGUGGAACCGAUGGUGGAAAUAAGGAAAACUGAAGGCAUGGCGGGCGGGCGUGUAUAGCCUGCCGCGUCACCGAUUCCCUGAGACCCUAACUUGUGACGUCGCAUCCGAUAUCUCACAGGCUAGAUUCUCUGGUAUUGGCGAUGAGUACUGCCUUUGCCAGUUAAUUGUUGAAGGAAAUUAUACUCUUUCGUUAUAUUCUUGCAUUGUAUAAUCGACGAGGAAAACUUGUCCGUCUGUUCUUUUUCUUUUCUAUUUUUUUGUUUCAACCGUAUACCACCAUUCGUUAGACCGUUAAAUUUUCUAUCGGAUCUGUAGCUCAGCUCUUUUACAUUUGAUUUUAUUAAAAAAAAAUUUAUUCAUUUUGAUUUUUUUAUUAUUAUUUUUAGCGUUUUGGCUGUAUACAAUCUCUUGUAUGCGUAUCACUAUAUUUUACAUAUAUUAUUAAAAAUAAUUGGGAUUAGUCAUUCUUGCAAUAUUUGGUAGAAUUUUGUUUAUACAUAUCUACAUCCCGUCGAUAUAAAAAAAUACAGAGUUUCCAUGUUGUCAAACCUUAACGAUGUAGUAUAAUCUAAAAAUUAUUAUUAUAUAACCAUUCGUUUUAUUUACUAAAAUUAAACAAUUAGUAUCAACAAAUAAUCUCUAACAUAGGCACGAUUUUAAAAUUCUUAUAGGUCCCAGAAAAACUGUAUAAUGUAAUAUUAUUUUUUUAAAUCUUGACUCUUAUAGAAAAUAAAGCUUAUUUCAAAGA